rnacentral:rRNA from 1 species
GACGAACGCUGGCGGCGUGCUUAACACAUGCAAGUCGAACGGAAAGGCCCUGCUUGCAGGGUACUCGAGUGGCGAACGGGUGAGUAACACGUGGGUGAUCUGCCCCGCACCUCGGGAUAAGCCUGGGAAACUGGGUCUAAUACCGGAUAGGACCAUGAUUCGGUUCAUGGUGGAAAGUUUUUUCGGUGUGGGAUGAGCUCGCGGCCUAUCAGCUUGUUGGUGGGGUAAUGGCCUACCAAGGCGUCGACGGGUGGCCGGCCUGAGAGGGUGGACGGCCACAUUGGGACUGAGAUACGGCCCAGACUCCUACGGGAGGCAGCAGUGGGGAAUAUUGCACAAUGGGCGGAAGCCUGAUGCAGCGACGCCGCGUGGGGGAUGAAGGCCUUCGGGUUGUAAAGCUCUUUUAUCCGGGAAGAUAAUGACUGUACCGGAAGAAUAAGCCCCGGCAAACUUCGUGCCAGCCGCCGCGGUAA